CGGUUUUGUUCAUCUUGUUAUAUACGGAUAGAAAACACCGCAUGUCUAGCAAAACUUUUCCAGGAAGAAGUUCACUUAAAGUGCCGCUUUGCCAGUUUACAUGAACCUCCUAUUGAUUUGGGUUUGUACUGCUAUCUGCAAUAAUAUAUACGAAGACUACCAUGGUUCAGAGUUGUUACCAAGAAAGUUUCUAAUAUAUGACGGCCUGCUCCAACCAUCCUCCAUCAGAAUUAGGUUAAGGCGUAUCAUCAAUUUCUCUGCGGCAUCUUCCUCCAAAACGGUUAACGAAUCAGACGGUCGCCUCCGUAGUGGACAACCCUGAAAAAUCCAAAUGAAGGUACUUAAAAUAGAUUUGCUAUCAAAGUCAUACGUCGAUAUACAUGUAGAAAUGAGAAAACGUACCUUUUUGUCCUGAUACAACUUUAGAUAUUCAAGUGAUUCCUCAUAAAAUCCACAAUGGUAGAGAAGAAUGCUGUAAUCUCUUUAAUUCCUUCGAAAAAAAAAUGAGCUGGCCAAUAAUUCAGUGGAGUACACACGUUAAAGCAUAAAGAGAGAAUUGGUGGUUGAGCUUUGUGUUGUGGGUGGAAAAAGUUUAGGUUAAAAAUUUGUCGGUGUGAUGAGUGAUGGUUGCUUUCUUUCUACUUUCCUAAAGCAACAUCGGUGCAAUGGACUAUUGUCAUGUGUUCAGGGAUGAGUGCUUUCUUUCUACUUUGCUAAAGAAACAUCGGUGCGAUGGACCAUUGUCAUGCGUUCCACUAAUAUUUGUAUGUCCUGUGUCACUGUUUAUAGGUUCCACUAAUAUUUGUCUGUCCUGUCACUCUUUAUAACUUACAAGAGAGUUCCUAUCGUUCUAGAGUGGGCGCAUGAUGCUGCUGAACUAAAAACUGAAAUCGAAAUGGUUACGAAACGAACCCUAAGUUUCUCUCCUUAUUGAGUAAAUUUUAGUUAGGUGAAUCAUGCAUGUAGAUUUACACAUUAUGUAGAUAUAUGAUUCCACAUAAUUUUAUUAUUACUCAAUCACAAAUGAGGUAACAAUUUGUUAUAUACAUCAAUUUACAUGAGAGUAUCACAAGCAGAUAAUAGACCCCUUACUAGCUCCGCUGUCGUACAUUUUGCCGGUUCAUUCUUCCAAUAUUCCGGCAUUCAAAUUUACUGAUGAUCUGGUCACUCAAUACAAUUACUACAUAAAAAACUGGCACCAAUAGGAAUAUGCAGAAUGUGGCAGGACUCAUAUCUCCGGUUUUGUUCAUCUUGUUAUAUACGGAUAGAAAACACCGCAUGUCUAGCAAAACUUUUCCAGGAAGAAGUUCACUUAAAGUGCCGCUUUGCCAGUUUACAUGAACCUCCUAUUGAUUUGGGUUUGUACUGCUAUCUGCAAUAAUAUAUACGAAGACUACCAUGGUUCAGAGUUGUUACCAAGAAAGUUUCUAAUAUAUGACGGCCUGCUCCAACCAUCCUCCAUCAGAAUUAGGUUAAGGCGUAUCAUCAAUUUCUCUGCGGCAUCUUCCUCCAAAACGGUUAACGAAUCAGACGGUCGCCUCCGUAGUGGACAACCCUGAAAAAUCCAAAUGAAGGUACUUAAAAUAGAUUUGCUAUCAAAGUCAUACGUCGAUAUACAUGUAGAAAUGAGAAAACGUACCUUUUUGUCCUGAUACAACUUUAGAUAUUCAAGUGAUUCCUCAUAAAAUCCACAAUGGUAGAGAAGAAUGCUGUAAUCUCUUAAUUCCUUCGAAAAAAAAAAUGAGCUGGCCAAUAAUUCAGUGGAGUACACACGUUAAAGCAUAAAGAGAGAAUUGGUGGUUGAGCUUUGUGUUGUGGGUGGAAAAAGUUUAGGUUAAAAAUUUGUCGGUGUGAUGAGUGAUGGUUGUUUUCUUUCUACUUUCCUAAAGCAACAUCGGUGCAAUGGACUAUUGUCAUGUGUUCAGGGAUGAGUGCUUUCUUUCUACUUUGCUAAAGAAACAUCGGUGCGAUGGACCAUUGUCAUGCGUUCCACUAAUAUUUGUAUGUCCUGUGUCACUGUUUAUAGGUUCCACUAAUAUUUGUCUGUCCUGUCACUCUUUAUAACUUACAAGAGAGUUCCUAUCGUUCUAGAGUGGGCGCAUGAUGCUGCUGAACUAAAAACUGAAAUCGAAAUGGUUACGAAACGAACCCUAAGUUUCUCUCCUUAUUGAGUAAAUUUUAGUUAGGUGAAUCAUGCAUGUAGAUUUACACAUUAUGUAGAUAUAUGAUUCCACAUAAUUUUAUUAUUACUCAAUCACAAAUGAGGUAACAAUUUGUUAUAUACAUCAAUUUACUAGCUCCGCUGUCGUACAUUUUGCCGGUUCAUUCUUCCAAUAUUCCGGCAUUCAAAUUUACUGAUGAUCUGGUCAAUACAAUUACUACAUAAAAAACUGGCACCAAUAGGAAAAUGCAGAAUGUGGCAGGACUCAUAUUUCCGGUUUUGUUCAUCUUGUUAUAUACGGAUAGAAAACACCGCAUAUCUAGCAAAACUUUUCCAGGAAGAAGUUUCACUUAAAGUGCCGCUUUGCCAGUUUACAUGAACCUCCUAUUGAUUUGGGUUUGUACUGCUAUCUGCAAUAAUGUCUACGAGGACUACCAUGGUUCAGAGUUGUUACCAAGAAAGUUUCUAAUAUAUGACGGCCUGCUCCAACCAUCCUCCAUAAGAAUUAGGUUAAGGCGUAUCAUCAAUUUCUCUGCGGCAUCUUCCUCCAAAACGGUUAACGAAUCAGACGGUCGCCUCCGUAGUGGACGACCCUGAAAAAUCCAAAUGAAGGUACUUAAAAUAGAUUUGCUAUCAAAGUCAUACGUCGAUAUACAUGUAGAAAUUAGAAAACGUACCUUUUUGUCCUGAUACAACUUUAGAUAUUCAAGUGAUUCCUCAUAAAAUCCACAAUGGUAGAGAAGAAUGCUGU
rnacentral:lncRNA from 1 species